rnacentral:rRNA from 1 species
AUUGAACGCUGGCGGAAUGCUUUACACAUGCAAGUCGAACGGCAGCACGGACUUCGGUCUGGUGGCGAGUGGCGAACGGGUGAGUAAUGUAUCGGAACGUGCCCAGUCGUGGGGGAUAACGUAGUGAAAAUUACGCUAAUACCGCAUACGAUCUAUGGAUGAAAGCGGGGGAUCGCAAGACCUCGCGCGAUUGGAGGGGCGGAUAUCAGAUUAGGUAGUUGGUGGGGUAAAGGCCCACCAAGCCAACGAUCUGUAGCUGGUCUGAGAGGACGACCAGCCACACUGGAACUGAGACACGGUCCAGACUCCUACGGGAGGCAGCAGUGGGGAAUUUUGGACAAUGGGCGAAAGCCUGAUCCAGCCAUUCCGCGUGCAGGAUGAAGGCCCUCGGGUUGUAAACUGCUUUUGUACAGAACGAAAAGGUUUCUACUAAUACUAGGAGCUCAUGACGGUACUGUAAGAAUAAGCACCGGCUAACUACGUGCCAGCCGCCGCAGUAA